UGCUGGUGUUUUUCUCAUUCACGUCAAGAAACAAUUCAUUAAAACAAAACGACUCCAAAAUAGAUGAAAAAUUCCAUCUGAAAUUAGCAAGAAUUUCUACUAGCGGACGACUCUGACCUUCCUUCGAUGGUUGCAGAUUCACAGACCCAAGGCUCAUAUUGUGCGAGUUCUACAACAAGUUCUAAAUAAGAAAAGGCAUUGCUUGAUUAAACACAACUAUUAGGCGCGUGCGACAUUAAAGAAGGCACCUGCUAGGCUUACUUUCUAUUCGAAAAAUCAAAAGCACGGAAAAAUGAUGUUCUGCUUUUUAGUUAUAUGAACAUUCCAAAAACAAAAAAAUAUAUACAAUAAACUCACUAUAUUUACAUACCUGAGCGUAAUUUAUUAACUAUAUUUAAUCUAGUAUUUUAUUUUUUAUAUUUAUGUACGUCCUAGAUGGUUUUCUAUAACAUCAAAUGCUACCUACAGAUUUGCAUGUAGAUUAACUAGACUGUUAAGACUAUACUAAUAAGGCUGUAACUUGUACAAAAGGUGUAAGUGUGUAAUAUUAAUAAUAAUCCUAUGUAAUACGAGCCCUAACAACUAAAUAUUGGGACAACAAAAAAUUUUUAUAAAAAAAUUACCAAACUUUUUAACAAAAAUGUAAUUUACUUUAGAUAAUUAAAAUUUUAAAAUUACUUCGUUUUGUAAAACUGUUAAUGUUUACAGCACAACAAAAACUGAUUUCUAACUCAAACAGUGACAUAAAACUCUAAACCAACGUAACAUUUUGUGACACAUAAAUAUUGGGACACAGCAAAUUCAGUAACUGAUCAUAUCUCAUUUUGCCUUAAUAACUGCAGGAAUUCUUGCCAUCAUACUUUCAACUAAUUUUCUGCAAUACACAGGAGUUGUUACCGUAUCCUACACUCGCUAAAUUUCCUGUUGAAGAUUGACAAUCGCUUGUCAUGGAUGAUUUCCUAAAUAUUGUUUUAUUUCACGUCAUACCGUCUCUACUAGAUAAGGAUCUGGGCUAUUCGAUGGUCAGGGCAAACAUUUAUAUUAUUAUUCUUUGUAAUAAGUGUUGUAGGUGUGUAACUUGAAGCAUCAUCCCGUUGAAAAAUAUAAAUAUCAACAGGAUAGACUGCUUCAGUAGUUGUUAAUAUUUUUUUACAAAGUCUCUUGACAUUUGUUUGAAUUUGUAAUUUCCCUUCCAUGAACGUUGUUAACUGGUCUUUAAAUUCCGUUAAUAGACAGGCACCCCCAAACCAUUUUUCCGCUUGCAGACUUGAUUGAUUGUUUAAGAUAAUCCAUAUUAAAAUUCCUUUUUUAUUUCAAUAACUCUUUUUCGACUAUUAUCUCACCCAUACAUCAAAUUUGGACUCAGCGUUAUAUAUUACUUUUCUCCAAUUUUUAUUUUGGUCAUAUUAACCAAUUUUUCUUAUGGGCAGUUUUUAAUUGUGGUUUUACUUUAGCCUAACAUAAUAUAAAUAAAUAAUAAAGUUAAUCAAAGAUAGCUUUAUUUAAGAUUUACAAUGUAAAAACCAAAGCCUGAUUUGUGUAUCCAUUCGCGACAAUAUUGUCUUGAAACAUUUAGUUGGUUAUCGCUAUUCCAGCAAGUAGUAAUUUCUCUUGAAGUACUCCGUCGUCCACUUUUAUAAAUUUUCAUCAGUUGUCGUUGAUCACGCGGCUUCACAAGUGGCGGCCUACCGGGAAUUUUACCUUUUAUUCCUGUGGUACCUUUGUCAGCGUAAUAUUUUACGAUGUUUACCAUCGACGACUAAGCUAUUUAGAACAAAUCUUCACUUUUUCUUAUCGAUUUUCCCAUGCAGUACUGCGAAAUUAUUAUUUUCAGAAAUUUUACUAAAACUAGCCCACCACUAACUAUUUUCUUUUAAGUGAAACCAACACUAGUAUGAAAUGCUACGAUCCCUAUAAUAAUGGCAGCAUUUACCAGCUACUACGUUUGUAUUUCGAUGGUAUACUUAGCAAAUUUUCUCGGGUGUCCCAACAUUUAAAUGUCAGCAAAAAUGCCACAUUUUUUAUUUAGGUGACAAUUUUUGCGCUCUAAGAAAAUUUAUUAAUUUGCAAAAUACCUCACUCUCUGCCAAAAUAGAUGCCCAUGCAAAAUUUGCAUUUUAGUCCAAACGAAUUGAAUGAUAUCAAAAAUAUGUACCGGAUUUUUUUGAGAAAUUGUCUGUGUCCCAAUAUUUAGUUGUUAGGGCUCGUAUAUGUGUUCCACUGCUGAUAUUUUAAAGUUUUUUUAUUUGUGGUUGCUUCAAACGUAAAAUAAAAUUGUUAAAGUAUUUAUACCAAACGUUGUUUCUAGAGCGCAAUCAUUUCACAAUUUUUUCGGAUGACGUCAUCAGUAUUUUACUGGGAAUGAAAUACCGUAUGUCUCAAAUUUGAUGUUAAAAAAAUUAAACAAUUUAUUUUACAUUUAAAGCUACCACGUGUACACAGUGAAGUGAAAGAAUUCAUUCCGUUAGUAACAAUUUGGAUUUUCGUAGUUAGUAAAACUAGUGGAGCUCGGUGAGGAAGAAAUCUAACAUUCAUAAGUGGUUCAAAAUAUACCAGUUGUCUUAGAUUUUAACAUAAAGUAUAAAUUACUAGCGAUAUACACAGAUAUGCCUACUCGAAUAAUGACAUGUUGGAAAGAGCAUAGCGAAGUUGGACAAAGUAAUAUAAAGGCUAACUGGAAUAUGUAUUGAGUUAUAAAAUCUUUGACAAUUGGUGCAUUGCACUCAAAAAAUUAAUUAUUACGCCAAUUGGUUUUAAUUAAAACCUUAAUUAAUCAUCAAAAGAAAGAACAGCCUUUCUCAAGGCUACUUGGAGACCGAGAUAUCGCUGAAAGUAAAAUCAGUAUUUAUUUCGAUGCUUCUUCACUUUAGGUCCCUGAGGCUGACUACGAAAAUUUGUUUGAUUUUUUUUUUAAAUUGUUAUUUAAAUGUGCCUUGUUUAUAUGCAACUAAUAUACACAUCAAUUAAUCUUCAAAUAAAAUAAGUACACUCAAAAA